rnacentral:lncRNA from 1 species
AUGGAAGCUUCUCAAGGGUCAGCAGCAGUGGCCUCCGUUCCCUGUGGGUCACAAUUCACGUGGGUCUUACCUCCCUGCAGGUUAAGCUCCCUGCUCUGUAGGCACGGGGCCGGGGCGGGGGCGUCUGGGGCUGUGUGACUGGCAGGCCCAGGCUUCUGGGCCAGCUCUCUGGUCGCCGCUGAGCGACCGUCCGAGGCCAGCACGUUUCCUUACCAAUCUCCUUACCUGGACCGGCGGGUCUCCACAAGAAAGUAAGGAGAGGCUGCGAGGCCGCUGGCAGCCUUUCUUCCCCGUUUGCAGUGUCACAACAAUGAUUCAUCCCACGAAUUAGCCUGGAGACUCCCCGGACACACAAGGUUAUAUAGAAAACAACUUUUACUUUUACUCAAACACACAAUUCCCACUCGCGGCGCCCUCCCUCCGGCCCGUGGCCGGCUUGGCGAGGCGGGUGAUGAGCAUCCCAAGCCUAGCGCCGUCGGGCAGCGGAGCCCUCAGGUGACCCCUGAAGACUAGGGUGCAGUCGGGGCCGCUGGGGCGCGGAGCGGGGGCACCUCGUCCACGGGACCGUCGGGGUCGUCUGGGGGAGGCGGGGAAGAGGGGGUACGCCAGGCCCUGAGCUCCGACAGCGCCCCCGCACGGGCCGGCUUAGGCGGGGUCUCCGUGGGCUGGUGAGGGGGCUCCCCGCCGGCAGCCGGGCCCGCGGGCGCCACCCCCACGAGCUCGCGGCCCAGCGCGGCCGGGCGGCGGGAGCGGCGCGCCGCGGGGAAGGUGCGCGCGGCGGGAGAGCGAGCGGAGCGAGAAGAGGGGAGCGGCGUCCGCCCCCGCCGUGCGGAGAGCCGCAGAGCCGAGCCGGCGCGCCCGGGCCGGGGAGCGCGCCCGAGGCCCGGCGAGCGCCAGCGCCGGCGCCGGAGGGUCGUGCCCGCGCCCGCGCCCGCGCCCGGGUCUCGGGCCCCCGACCGGCGGCGGCGGCGAGGCCGGGCGGCCACCUGCUGCGCCGCGUGAGGGCCGCGCGUCCGCGCUCCCGGGGCCCCGCCGCCCCCACCCCGCGGACCCAGAGCCUCCGGCGCUUCGCGGAGCCGCCCGCGCUCCCGUGCAGGUGACGCCUCAGAAAACACACGACGAGGGGAGUCGGUGUGUCCGGGGGAAGUUGUUGGUGGACGAAGUGUCGGUGCCUUCUGGCGCCAGAGGCCGCGGCAGGGGAGAGGAGUGGACGGUCGUUAACUCUUCUGCUUCAGGUAAUGCUUUAUUUGUUAUACACGUUUUAGGCUUUGGUUGCCAUUGAGGGGUUCUGGGGUUGAUCUAAGAAAUGCUCACAUUUUUAAUCAACACCUAUUUGUUGAACGGACGUUUCCUCUCAGAUGGGGCGUUAAUACGAGGUGAACAGUGAGCAAAGCCUGAGUGGUUACUCCAGUGGACUAGUUACCAACCAGGCUUUGGCUUUGGAAAUGCAAAGUGUAAAGGAAUACCACCGUUGGGGUUAGACUCGUGUCGGUACAAGCGGCAGCUGGCACGGUGUCCCUGCUGAAUACUUAAUUUUGAGCCAUAAAUCUAUCAAGUGGGAGACGAGCAGCUGUGUGAGCCUCUGAGCGCCCACCCCACACCUUCCUCAACUGAUAGCUUAAAAUAUCCCCACUCCCUAUUCCAGCCGGCACGCUUCCUUCAUUUACAUAAUUCGGGCACGUGACCGUGGAAUAGAAUCUGUUUAGACCCUGGUCUCCCUGGAGCUCACACCUGGGAUGAUGGAGCGCCGUGAUCACUCCUUAGAGCCAUGUGAGGCGGUAGGAUUGUGGGGAGCAGCAUUUCUAGAGUCUGUGCAGUCACAUCAGCGGUCCCUGACUGUGGGGCCUGUGGAGGACUGAGCGGGGCUGGUUUCUUCUCUCUGCCCCAGUGUUGUGCUGAGCCAUAUUGGAGGCUAAGGUAGAAGAAAAAUCAGUACUACAGAUCCUGUCUUUAUUUAAAACUGUGAUGUGUUUUGUGCAGUGUGGAUUCUGUGUUCAUUUUGAUGUUUUGAAACAGUCCAUUGUACCGUUUGUCUUCAGGAGUCUUUGGUACUCCCUGAAAUGUUGUGCCUGGAGCGAGGGCCUCCCUUGGUCCAGACUUGCCUCCUGGUCAAGUUUCUUAGCUUCUCUGAGCAGCUGUCCUCAAUGAACAAAUUAAAAAGUGGCACCUGCAAGGCUGCUGCCCGGCUCACACACAGCAUAUGGCCACUGCGUGGGACCAGACCCCUCGGGCUCAGGGAAGGGUGGGUGUCCUAUUCAUAUUGUUGUUCAGCUUGGUGAUCU